rnacentral:rRNA from 1 species
CCUACGGUGCGCAGCAGUGGGGGAUAUUGCACAAUGGGGGAAACCCUGAUGCAGCGACGCCGAGUGUGGGAAGACGGUCCUCUGGAUUGUAAACCACUGUCCCCAGGGACGAAGAUGACGGUACCUGUGGAGGAAGAUCCGGCUAACUAAGUGACAGCAGCCGCGGUAAUAGGUAGGGAGCGAGCGGUGUCCGGAAUUACUGGGUGUAAAGGGAGCGUAGGCGGGGAUGCAAGUUGGGUGUCAAAACUACCGGCUCAACUGGUAGUCGCACGCAAAACUGCAGCUCUUGAGUGAAGUAGAGGCAGGCGGAAUUCCUAGUGUAGCGGUGAAAUGCGUAGAUAUUAGGAAGAACACCAGUGGCGAAGGCGGCCUGCUGCGCUUUUACUGACGCUGAGGCUCGAAAGUGUGGGGAGCAAACAGGAUUAGAUACCCGAGUAGUC